rnacentral:lncRNA from 1 species
UGGACAUCACUUUGUCAUUUCCGUUCAGAGCCACCCACCAGCUUUAAUGAUAGGAGGUUCCAAUGCUUCUUUUACUCUGCUAUCCUUUAUUGCAUAAGAACCUUUCAUUUCUUCAAUCAGGAGGUUUCAAUCCGCGCCUCUCCAUCACUCGACUGACUGUCUUUGGGACUCCCUUCUCCAGGUAAAAACUUUCGCUUCUCUUAAGAGCCUCCGUUGUAAUAGUGUGAGCAUAGAUGUUUUUUUGCUUUUGGAAUAAAAGAAAACUUAAUCUCCUGGUAACAAUUUUUCCGGUUCCGAAUAUCUCUGAUUAUUGCUCCAAUGAUCGAUCUAUCUGUAAUGGAACUUUUACACUUUUUUAUAACUGUUUUUGCAUCACCCAUUAUCUCCAUUUUGUUGAUUCCCAAAUUAAUACCUAGAGUGAUUGCUUGUAAUCCUGCAUGAGCCUCCGCUGUGAAUGAAUCUUCGAUGUUGGAGUGGAGAACUGCUAAAGACACAAGGAUUUCCCCUUCCCCAUUCCAAACUAUUAACCCCAAUGCCGAUCUGAACGUCUGACUAUCAAACGCUGCAUCAAAAUGAACCGUUUCCCAUCCCCUUUUGAAAACCUGUUGAUAACAGUCAGAAGUAUGGAAGGUAGGUUUAUCUUUUUUUGCUGCUUCGAGUUCUGUUAAAUAGUUUCUAAUUUUCCUUGCUAUUUCUGAUCCUGACAUUUGCUUUUUUUCAUAAAUGAGUUGAUUUCUACUGAACCAGAUAUACCAUAGUCCACAGCAGAAUAGUCGCAACUGCUCCUCGUUUCCUUGACCAAAGAUUCCAGUGAGCCAUCUCCAUAAAUCCUCAUUAUUGUAGUUCAGUAUCCACGAAAGAUUAAGAUGAUACCAGACGUCAAUCACUGCAGGGCACUGUUGGAAAAUAUGGCGACUGCUUUCUUCUUCGCACUCACAUCUGGGACAUUUAGUAUUCACCGAAACCCGCUUUAUUUUGAGAUUGAGAAAAGAGGGGAUAUAGUUCCAUGAAAUCCUCCAUAUAGUCAUUUUGAUUUUCGAUGGAAUUUGUAAUGUCCAUAGUUUCCUGUAAAAGCUUAUAGUUUCGGUAUGUAAAAAUAACUCAUUAGGAUCCAAAGUCAACUCAUGUAAUAGUUUAUAGGCGCUCCUAACUGAAAAUUCUCCGGUCGACUCCCCUUUCCAAACUUGAAGAUCUUCAUGUUCUGUCUCCACCAAUGGGAUCCUCAAUAUUUUCUCCGUUACAGCUGGUUUGAAGGUAUCCUUUAUUAGCUCUGUUUUCCACUUUCUGUUACUUAGUUCAAUCAACUCUGAGACAAAUUCAAAAUUACCAUUCACUUCUUGAUUCGGUAUUCUAACCAUUUCUUUUCCUGGUAACCACAGAUCAUCACAGAUGGAAAUCCUAUCACCUCGACCCACUCUCCAGCAUAGACCUUUUUCAAGCAGAUCUUUCGCAGACCAAACACUUCUCCAGAUAAGUGAAGGUAAAUUUCCUAGCCGAGCUUUCAAGAAAUCUGAAUUGGGAUAAUACUUUGAUUUCAAAACACGAGCUAAUAAUGAAUCUGGGUAAUUAACAAGACGCCAACCCUGUUUCGCUAAUAAAGAAAUAUUAAACUUUGUAAAAUUUCGGAAACCAAGACCACAAUUUUCUUUUAAUAAGCAAAGAUUCUCCCAGGUACACCAAUGGAUACUCUUUUUAUUCCAUAUCUUACGCCACUAAAAAUUAGCAAUAAUUCUUUCCAGAUCUGUACAUAGGGUCUUAGGGAGUAGAAAACACGACAUUGAAUACGUUGGGAUAGCUUGUAAGAUCGCUUUAAUAAAAACUUCCUUACCUUCUUGGGAUAGAAACCUUGUACUCCAAUUAUCAAUCCUUUGUUUGAGUCUAUCUUUUAAACUUUGAAAAGAUAUUUUCUUCCUUUUCCCACCAUACUAGGAAGCCUUAGGUAUCUCUCUAUAUCAUUCGCUCUUCUAACUCCUAGGAUCAUUGAGACAUUACCCCUUAUAUGCUCUUCUGUGUUUGUAUUGAAGAAAAUAGUCGAUUUUUCAUAAUUCACACAUUGCCCUGAGCUCAAUUCAUAUUCCUUUAGAAUCUGUUUUAAAGCAUGUGCCCCCUUUUCUGAAGCUUUUACAAAUAAAAUACAAUCAUCGACAAAGAGUAAAUGUGAGAUAGUUGGUCCUCUUUGACUUGCUUUAACUCUUCUAAGGAUACUUUCUUCUUUUGCAAGCUGCAUUAAACUCGAUAGACCUUCUGCACAGAACAGAAAUAGGAACGGACUGAGAGGGUCACCUUGUCUGAUUCCUCUAGAUGGAAUUAUCGUUUGCCCUCUGUUGCCAUUGAUAAUCACCUCAUAUGAGACCGUCGAGACACAUUUCAAAAUUGAAUCAACCCAUCCUGGAUCAAAACCCGACUUUUUUAUUACUCCUUCCAUAAAGCCCCAUUUGACUCUAUCGUAUGUUCUACUCAUAUCAAGUUUGACAGUCAUGAAUCCUUUUUUCCCCACCCUCUUGAGUUUUAGAGUAUGUAAGAUUUCAUACUCAAGUAAGACAUUAUCCGAAAUCAGCCAUCCUGGGACAAAAGCGCUUUGAGCUAAAUCAAUACAUUUAUGCAUUACUCCUUUGAGUCGUCUAGCAAUAACUUUUGCUAUCAGCUUGUAAAUCACAUUGCAUAAACUAAUUGGUCGAAACUGAGUAAUCCUUGAGGGAUUUAGGACUUUUGGAAUAAGCACAAUGUUUGUUUUAUUGAUUGAAUGUAAAUCCAUACCUUCGUUUAACCUCUGAAGACAAAAAUUGGUUACAUCCUCUCCAACAAUUGGCCAACACUUUUGAUAAAACAGGGAUGGAAAAUCGUCCUCUCCUGGAGCUUUUGUAGGUCCCAUUCCUGAAAGCGCUUCCAGUAUCUCUUCCUUUGUGUAUCUUGCCUUUAAAGUCUUAUUGUCUUCCACUGUGAUACGGCCUUCAAUACCUGUUAGGAUUCUAUCGCAAUGAUUUUGUCCUCCUGUAUUAAACAAUUUUUGAAAAUACAAUCUAGCAAUUUCCUCCUUUUCCUUCCACUCAUCUGUUUCCCUUCCGUCUUCUGACUGCAAUUUAUGUAUCUGAUUAAGUUUUCUUCUUUGUGAUGCUUGCUUGUGGAAGAAAGCUGUAUUUUUGUCCCCUAGCUUUAGCCAAUUAAUUCGGGCCCUCUGUUCCCAGUAACUCUCGUCUUUUUCAAUCUCAAAGUUCAGAUGGAUUUUUGUAUCAAUAAUCUCUGCCAGAUUCUCAUCACUUCUGUCUUCUUCAAGUAAUGCUAUCAGUUUUGAAGUCAAACCCUCUGUUUUCAUUUUCCUAUUCUGUUGGAUUUUAACUCCCCACUUCUCCAACCCUCUUUUGAGGAUCUCUAGCUUGUUUAUAAGAUCUCAUGUAGAAUUUUCCCAAAUUCUUAAUAGUUUCACUAAAGAAUGUUUCUUCUAGUACCCACCACGCUUCAAACUUGAAGUUCCUUUUUGCCCUCUCUCCAUUCUUGUAAGCCGUAUCUAAAAGAAUUUGGACAAUGGUCCGAGAAUGAAUGUGGAAGAUGUCGUACUAGAUUGUUUGGGAAUAAGUCGCUCCAUUGCUCCGUUGCAACACCUCUGUCAAGUCUCUCCUGAAUAUUUGUUUCAAUUAAGUUCCCUCUCUCCCAUGUGAACCAUCUGCCAGAAUAUCCCAAAUCAACUAGAUUACAAUCUUCUAAAACUUGUCUAAAUGCCUCUAUUCUUCUUUCCUCCCUAGGUAAUCCACCUUUCUUUUCGAAACCAUAUAAGAUUUCAUUAAAAUCCUUGCAAACAAGCCAAGGGUAUUCUCCCUGAUUCUGUAAUUGCCUCAACAGAUUCCAUGCUGCAUCCCUGUCUUGUGAAUAAGGGGAUCCAUAAAAACUUGUAAGUCUCCAUAUUUUCCCUUCCUCUCCUUCCUCAAUAAACACAUCAAUAUGUCGGUUUGAAAAGCUUUGUAGUUUAAUGUUAACAUUUUCUUGCCAUGCCAAACUUAGUCCACCUUUCGAUCGAAUCGAGUCAACAUCAAUGCCAAAUUGAAACCCACACCUUCUUCAAACUUUUUCCAUUUUAUUUUUGUUUAAUUUUGUCUCCAUUAAGAAGGUCACUUGGGGAUGAUGUUGCUUCAGCGAAUGCCGAAGUCGUCGAACUGUCCGAGGAUUCCCUAACCCUCGGACAUUCCAGCUUAAGAUUUUCAUUGCGACCGGUCGGCUUGCCUCUUGGCAGCCAUUGAUAACAAAUGGUUAGAUUCAGCCCUUCUACUAUUCCUCCCUCCCGCCUCCAUACUUUCUUCCAUUUCCCCUCUAGUCCUCUUUUUCCCCUCCUCUCCUACAAUCAGCUCAUUCUCCAAAUCAUGCUCCAUCUCCAUGUUAUUAUUACCAAUUAGCUUCCUUGAACUUCCUAGCUCUGCGUAAAGCCCGUUACCUUCCAGAUUAAAACCUAGAAUUGGAUUCGGACUAUUCUCAAAUUUUCCUACUUUCCUCCAAUCUCUAUCACUCCUGAAUUCAUCUCUAUUAUUUUUGCCUACUGAUCCUCCCUCCUCCCUUAACCAGGCACUGCGCAUUGCUUGGGCUCUCCUUGACUGUGCCCGCAAAGAUAGAUCCCAUCCCGUUUCUUCUAUUUCAACCCCAACUUCCAUUUUUACUUUGCAGAAGGAAUCAUGCCCUAACCGGCCACAGAAGAAGCAAAAGAGAGUUAAUCUCUCAUACUUAAAUCUGACAUAAGAACACAUAUUCUUAAACUUAAUCUGUUUUUUCCUUUUGAGAGGGCGACGGAUAUCAAUGUGUACUCUAAUCCGCAUAUAAUUCAUAUUUUCUUUCCCUAAAUUAGAACUAUCAUACUCCUGGAAAGUUCCAAUAAAAUUUCCUAAUUGCAUGGCUAAACUUUCAGAGUAAAAACCAAUGGGAGCCUCAUGAACUUGUACCCAAAAAGGUGAUGAAAUUAAUGGAAUUCUGAGUGGGUCCUCUGCCCAUUGCAACUUAUGUAGAAUCAGCAGAUGGUUAUUAAAUGUCCAAGGGGACCCUUUAAUAACUCUCUCCAUAUCCAUAAUGUGAAAAAAUUAAAAAAUAUACCUCUUUUCCCCCAGAUCUCUAAUUUGAACCCCCUUGAUUGGAUGCCAUAAGUUAGCCAUAGUACUUUUCAUUGCUGGGUAAUGGAUGAUACUGGCUGUAAGGAAACACCCAACUAGACUUAAAUCUUCUUCUGCACUUACCGAUUAGGAUUUCUUCCUCUUCGUCAUCAAGGGAUAGGGCUACAAACUCAGAUUCCAUGGUCGUUAUACGUGAAGAAUAGAAAGAGAAGAUUAUUCACAACACUGGAAAACUCGGCUGUCAAACCAAAAAACUAUUGAAAAAAAAGAAAAUCUAGACUUGCCAGAAGGGCAGACAGUGACGAGCUAGGGUAGCAGACUUUUAUAAAAGACUUAAUAUAACAAUCGUAUUUAAGAGGUAAAAUUGCAACAUUUUAUCUGUUUAAAUCAAGAAUCUAUUUUAAAAAAUUAAUCUCUUAUUGGUUCAAUUUUUUUUGUACAAAUAUUAUUAUUUUUUUAAGGAGAAGUCUUUACGUCAAUGUUAUAGGCUAUUCAUAAACAUAAGAUAUUAUUUGUUAUUGCCUUUUGAAUUUAAAGUGUCAUAGAAACAAUUUUAGAUAUCUACAUGUAAAAGUACUAUCAACUCUUGGCAUUAGGAGGAAUAUUGCAUUUUGCCUCCUAUAUUAAAAAAUUGAUAAAUUAGCCCCUGUAUGUUACAAAAAUGUGUAAAUUAGUCGUUCCGUUAAAUUUUCAUCCAUAGUUGUUGCUAAGUGAUGAUUUGACUUAUUUUCAAUUUUUUUAUGUAAGUGACGUGGAAUUAAAGAAUGAGUAGGAUUCAGUAAAAGUAUUAUAGAGAUCCAAAUAUUAAGAGUUGGAUUGCAUUUUGCCCCUUCUACUCAAAAAAUAGGUAAAUUAAACCCUAUUCGUUAGAUCAAAGAGAAAAAUGGUCAUUUGUUAAAAAAUGAGUUCAAUAUAAAAUUAGUAUCCAAAUUUAUCCACUUCUCCCAAAUUGAUACUUAUGGUCUUUUUUGUCUCAGAUUGGUACCCGAACUUUUUUCCCGUCAAUUAAAGCGGUAUUUGAGCCUAACGUAGUUAAGUUUAGGACACGUGCUAGAAUAUAAUUGUGAUACGUGGUAUAGAUGACAUCAUGGUGAUGUCAUAAUAUUUUUUUAAAAAACCUUUUUCUUUUUUGAAUUUUUCCCCAAUUUAUGUUGUUCCUUUUUAUUCUUUUUCUUUCUUCUUCCUCCUUCAACCCUAAAUUUUGUUUCUUCUCUGUUUCUUUUAUCUGUUCAAUUAAAACCCUUUUUAAUAUAAUUUUGAAAAAAAAGGGUCAUUUUGAGUUUAUAGAGGAUGAGGAUAGGUUUUGUUUCAAGUAAACAUGAAAUUUGUUUUAAAAAGGGUUAAUUUGUUUCAAAAAAGAUUUUGAGGGUUUGAAUUGAAUCGUUGAGUGGGGACUAAGUUUGGGCAUGGGUGUUGUUACAAGGUGCUGUAAUGAAAUCUAAUGGGGUAAAUUUGAGGGGUUUUGGUUUUAGGGUUUGAGGAUUUAAUGGGGAGAGAAAUGAGAGAUGAAGAUUGGGAUUUUCUUUGUAAUGGAAGCUAAGGGGGUGAAUUUUAGGGUUUUGAAUUAGGUGAAGAGAAGUAGACUUUGCAGUCGUCUAGAUUCUAAAACCCAAACUUCGACUUUCCUGAUAUGUACCACUUAGAUUAAGACACAAAAUUGGAGUUCACUUCUUGCUUACAAAUCAUGUGCAUAUGUGUUUGCAUUUGAGACUGUGAGAGUGAGGAACAGUAAAGGAUGAGCUUAACCAAACCUUAUAUUAUACCAUUUCCAAUGCUCAAAAAAUGAUAUAGUCAAAUCACUUUUUCAGUUUCCUAUUUCUUCUUAUUGGUUGAGUAAUUGUUUCGGUCUAGAGUCUAUUACUAUAAAUAUCACAAAUUAAGCUGAUGUUCAAAGUUUUUAUUUUCUACUGUGUAAGAAAAUAAUUUUUUAAAUCAAAUUUUUUCCAACAGCCGUACCUCGAGAGCUCGAACCAAAGCUAAAAUCUCUUUAUCAUAAGUUGAAUAGUUGAGUUAGGCCCCAUGAAGUUUCUCACUAAAAUAUGCUAAAGGUCUCUGUAACACUCCUAACUCGUAUCCGUCACUGGAACAAGGUUAUGGAGCAUUACUGGACCUAUCAGACAAUUUACAAUUAAUAUGGAAACCAACACAUUUUCACAUUCAAACCUAUUUAAAACAUGCCUUUCAUAAUUAAAUACUCAUCAUAUACUAAAUGACCAUUUGGUCAUCUUAAACCAUCACCAAAACCUUUAUAAAAAAGACUCAAGCCUAUACAUGCCAUAUAACCAAUAUCACAAAGGUUAUAAAUACCAAACCAUAGCUGGAUAGUGUGAUGAGAUCUCCGAUGACUUCCAACACGAGCAAGCCUUCGAAACUCUAUAAACAUAGGAAAGAAAACAAAGUAAGCUAUAAAGCUUAGUAAGCUCGUAUGGAAAUAAACCCAUGUUAUUAAAUAACCGCAUUUAAAAUAAUUAUUCAAAAUAUGAUAUAAUUUAUAUGAUUGUAACAUUCUAUUUCAAAUUCAUGCACAUAGUUAAUCCAGAUUUUCAUGAGUUUAUUCUUUCAAAACUCGUAUAGUUUGAAUACUUCUUAUCAAUUCAUUCACAUUUUCAUAUGCAUAAGCAAUUAUAUAUAUACUUUAUUCAAUUCAAUAUUCAUCACCUUUUCUUCAGCCAAGCGAAAUAUCAUCAAAUAACGAUAUUUCGCACACUAUAUGCCUUAUGUGUAUUUAGUUAAAACAACUAUAACUCAUAUCUCACAUAUCAUUUAUAUAAUUCACAUAGAUCAUAUUCCAAUUCAUUCUCAAUCAUAUAAUCUAUAACAGUAUAAUACCCGUUGAACCUACUGAAACAUCGAAGGAUACUCGGGUGAUACACAUUAUCUGCAUUAAUUGGUAAUCCAUCAAUUCAUUAUCAUUUCUGCUCUUUCGAGCCAUGAUCGGUAAGCUCAUUCUGAGUUGAAGAACGGUAAGCUCAUAAGAGCUGAUAUAUCGGUAAGCUCAUACGAGCUGUGGUGAGUCCGUAACAAAUGUAGGAGCUCGACCAAAAUGGUAACCCUAGUGUCAUGUCACUCGUAUCCUACGAUUUUCUAUAGUUCAAAUAGGGCUCGGUAUUACUUAAUACAUUUCAAAUUAAGCAAUUUAGUAUCGUUUAUUUCAACCAUUCAAUUCACAUAUAUAUACAUAUUCAUUUCAUACAAUUGCAAUUAAAUGAAAGUUCGAUUCUAGUUAUAGGAACUUACCACAUUGCAUAAUUUAAGCAAUUAAAUCAAUAUGUCCAACUCGAAUAUUCAAAUGCCUAUCACACAUACACCUCAAUAGGUUAGAGUCUCAAAUAUGAAUAUAACCAACAUUUCAUCCAUGAAUGCUUCAAUUUGGCAUUCAACUCACAUAGCAUUUAAUUCAUAAAUUUCAUAAAAUUUCAUUUCCAUACAUUCUCAUAACACAUCAUAUUUCAUAUACAUGACACACUAAGAAUUUAUUAGAUUACUUUCAUUUGAUUCUUAUUUAGAUUUUGUACGUAUAUGUAUCACUUAAUUCGAUUGUACUUUCAUUCUCAUCUUGGCUUUUCCAGUUGAACCAUUCAAAAUCGUUAAGGAUACUCAGAAAUCAUAAUAGCUCAUACAAUGCCAUAUCCCAGAUAUGGUCUUAAUGUUAUCACAUAUCGAUGCCACUGCCCAGACAGGGUCUUAUACGAAAUCAUAUGACGAUGCCGAUGUCCCAGACAUGGUCUUACAUGUAAUCACAAUACAAUGUCAAUGUCCCAGACAUGGUCUUACAUGUUAUCACCUCUCAGUAAUCCUAAUGUCAUGACAUUUGUAUCCUAUUCUAUUACUAAGGUUCAUACAUGAAUUUUGGACGUCGUAACUCUGUCGAUUUCAGCUCGUAUUCAUGACCAUUCAUCACUCAAUUCAAUUCAAUAUUAAUUAAGCAUUUAUAACACAAUUUAAAUAUGUUAUUAGCAUACAAACUUACCUCAUUCGCUGUAACAACGAAUUAGGUCGACUAAUCCGAUACUUUAUUUUCUCCCGUCUAGAUCCGAAUCUCAUUUUUCUCAAUCUAUAAAAUAACAAAAUUUUCUUAUUUAAUCAUUUGUUCAUUCAAUUUAACACAAAUUACAUGUUUUGGCAAAAUUACACUUUUCCCCUAUUAUUUCACAUUUUUGCAAUUUAGUCCUUAUCACAUAAAAUCAUAAUUUCAUGCAAUUUCAUCCUACCCAUGCUUAUUUGAAUUCUUCUUAUUACCUUAGUAGCCUACAUUUUCCAAAUAAUCACACUUUUAACCACAUAAUUUCAAUAUUUCACAAUUUAAUCCCUAAUUUGUAUUUUUAUCAAAAAAAUCACUAUAAAAUAUGAAAAUCUAACAUCAAAUAUUCAUAUUUCACCAUUAAACAUCAAAUAACACAUAAUCUCAUCAAUAUCAACUAUCAAAAUCUUUAAUAGUUUUUGAAGUCGAAGACACGAGUUAGCUAGUACUAGAUGUAAUGAUCUCAAAAAUGUAGAAAUCAUUAAAAACAGAUCAAAAUCCAUACCUAUUUGAGUAAAAAUACCGUGGCCGAAAGUCAAGCUCAUCCAUGGUUGUUUCAAACUCCAUUUUCGAUUGUAAAUUGGAUGAAAGAAGAUGAUAAUUGACUUUGUUUUAUUUAUUUUAUCUUAUAUUAUCAAAUACCAAAAUUAACCUUUAAAAAUAUUAGUUACUACACCAAAUGCCACUCCACUAUCAUCCACUAACUCAUACAUGGGCUAUUUUCCACAUAAGGACCUUUACUUUAAAGUUCUAUAGCUAUUUGACACUUUUAGCUUACAGAACACAACUUUUGCACUUUACGUGAUUUAGUCCUUUUUAUCAAAUUAAGUACCCAAAUGAUAAAAUUUCUUCACAAAAGUUUUACACAAUCAUAAUAUCAUACUGUAAUUAUUAAAAUAAUAAUAAAAUAAAUUUUUUGACAUCAGAUUCAUGGUUCCAAAAUCACUAUUCUGAUUUGACCAGAAAAAGAAAGGGUUGUUACAGUCUCUUAUCUUGCCUCAAUACUACGACAAUCCCAACACCUAAAUCAUCACAUUCUAUUUCAAAUGUGUUAGAAAACUCAAAUAUUUUUAAAAUAGGAGGAGAACAUAACUUAUCUUUCUAGGCUUGAAAUAAGUUUUCUUAGGCUUCUCCCCAUUUAAACCCAAAGGAUUUCUUAAUGACUUCGGUUAAAGGAGCUACUAAGGUGGACUUCACGAAUCGUAUAUAAAAGCUUUCUAAUCCAUGGAAACAUUACACUUUUGUAAUUGAAUUAGGUGUGGGUCACUCUCAAAUGGCUUUCACCUUGUCUUCAUCAAUAUGGAUACCUUGUGCACUAACAAUAAAUACCAAAGGGAUGAGCUUACUACAAAAUUAAAUGCAUUUAUCAAGGUUAGUAUAUAGUUGAUCAUGACGUAAAAUCUCUAAAACAGCUUGUACAUGUUCAACAUGCUCAUUUAAAGACUUAAGAGUAAAUUAGAAUGUCAUCAAAAUAAACAACUACAAACUUAGCUAAGAAAGGUAUUAAGACAUGAUUUAUCAACCUCAUAAAUGUACUAGAGGCGUAAGUUAAGUCAAAAGCCAUAACCAACCAUUCAUACAAUCUGGAUUUAGUUUUGAAAGUGAUUUUCCACUUAUCCCUUUCUUUGAUACGUAUUUGGUGAUAUCCACUCUUAAAAUCAAAUUUCAUGAAAAUACAUGCACUAUAAAGUUCAUCAAGCAUGUCAUCCAACCUAGGUAUGGUACUUAAUAGUAAUGAAAUUAAUAAGCCUACAAUCUACACACAUACAAAAUGUACCAUCCUUUUUGGGUACCAAUAAAACCAAAAUCGCACAAUGGCUCAAACUCUCUCGAAUGUAUCCUUUCUCUAAAAGCUCUUCCACUAAUCGUUGCAACUCAUUUGGCUUUUUGGGGUUGCUUCGAUAAGUUGGUUGGUUUGGAAUUGUCGAGUCAAGGAUCAAAUCAAUUUGAUGCUCAAUACCUCACAAAGGUGGUAAACCUUUAAGAGCAUCACCAAAUACAUCCUCAUAUUCCUACAACAAGGAAAUAAAACACUAGGCAAAGGUUAGAAAAUGAUAAGUAAUUUUGCCUAAAAUACAUUAGAAUACAAGGUUGUUUACUUAGUAGGGCUUUCUUCACAUUUUUUGUACUCGCAUAAAAAUUUUGAUGCACUCUUUUUUCUCACAAGAGGAUUCACUCACUAGUGGGCCAUUAUUUAGUCUUUUGUUACUCAUGGCCUCUUUUCUCUUAACCUUUUUUACCUUACUACCUUGAACCCCCUCACAAAAUUUCAUCAUUUUCAAUUGGCCAUUGUGUACAUCUUUGGGAUCCAAAAUGGUUAAGUAUCUAUUCAAUUUGCCAUGGUGGAUGACCUCUCGAUCAAACUGCCAUGGUCUCCUCAAUAGUAAAUGAGCAACAUGCAUUGGGG